CCGUUCCACGCCAUUGGGAUCGUCCUCCAGGAGCAGGUGGUGGAGGAGGUCGUCACCGGAGAGCACGACGAGCUUCUCGACGGUGUCAUCGCGCCAG
rnacentral:SRP_RNA from 11 species